UACGUAGGCAGCGAGCGUUGUUCGGAAUUACUGGGCGUAAAGAGUGUGUAGGCGGUGCUCUAAGUUCGGUGUGAAAUCUCCUGCUUAACUGGGAGGGUGCGCCGGAAACUGGAGUGCUUGAGCGUGGGAGAGGAAAGCGGAAUUCCUGGUGUAGCGGUGAAAUGCGUAGAUAUCAGGAGGAACACCUGUGGUGUAGACGGCUUUCUGGACCAUAGCUGACGCUGAGACACGGAAGCGUGGGUAGCAAACAGG
rnacentral:rRNA from 1 species